ACCUCGUCUCUCAGAUUCAUUGGCCUGUCAUGAGGCAAGCAGAGUGAGCUUGGACUCAGUAACACUGACAUUGUCAAAUGUCCCCUAAUGGCUGAAAAACCACUGGUAUAGAGUCUACCCUAGAAACAGUGUGGUCUGCAGACCAGCAGCAUAAGCCUCACCGGGGAGUUUCUUCAAGAUGCCAAAUCCCAGGCCCCUUGUCAGAACUGCAGAGCCAGGAUCUGCAGUUUAUCUAGAUCCCCCAGGGUCUCAGGUGGUCCGUCUCCUAACCUUGAUGAGUCUCUCUGGUCCCUUUAAGCUGGCCUCGGGUGGUUUCAUGGCUGCUCCUCCCUCGAUUAGCAACUGCUUGAAUUUGCUUUUUGGAACUCAGAACAUGAAGACUUUCUGAGCAGGUUGUCAUCAAAAGAUCAGCAGACUUUUUCAAAAAUGUCAAAUCACAUAUAAGUUUCUCACAAGUGAUGAAAUCACUGAUACGGCAAGUUUCCAAUUAACAGGACUAUACAAGGAAUUACUUCCUUUACACUUUGGACUCCAUAACUAGUGUUCGGAAUCCCAGUGGUCUCCACUGACACUGAAGUCAGAGCUCGAAAAUACCACCAGGUGGCGCCAAUACCACUUUAAUAGAUUGAGAAAUGGCCAAGCUUGUUUCUAAUAAACAUAAAUCCUUCCAAUUUUUUUUAAAGAAUUUUUAAAAUUUCUGUCUUUCUUUACUGU